CCUGUCAAGGUCAGUCAGUCACUUAUUGCUGCAGAUGUGCUCAAUAAUGCUUGAGCAUGUGAUACUCCUCAAAGCAUGGUGAAAUACAUAGAGGUGUAAUCACAAGCUAGACACAUGUAUUUUGUCAUCUUCCUCUGCUUACUUCUCCUGGCGCCAGACAGGCAGACUUUGCAAUGCCUCCGUGUGCGACUACCUUGAGAAGCAGUUUGAGGGACUUUGCAGGGAAAAUGUCGUGCAGUGAGGCGUAGGGGAUUGUCUACAGCAGGACGGCCCCCAGUGGAUGGGCGCCGAGGGGUGUGGUGCUCCUCCAGCAGCUCUCUCAUGAGGUUCUCUCUGUAUUUUUGGUGGUCCACCUUCCCUGUGGCCGACAUGGUUGCUGUGUGGACAGUGGAGAGGACAUGGACGUCUCGUCUCGUUUGUCAUGCCACUUUACUGCCAGCUGUUGACCGUUCUCCUGGAACUCCACCUCCCCUCUCUGCAUCUUCCUGCAUCCGAAUGCCGGCAUCCCCUUCCUGUUCGACCUGACUGUGCCACAGGCCCCUGUGCUGUUGGAGAGUGUUGAUGAUAAGAUUGGAGGAACUGGACUCGGUCAUGAACCAGGACACGGUGGAAUAAAAUAUAUGUAGGCUGUU